GACGAACGCUGGCGGCGUGCCUAAUGCAUGCAAGUCGCACGCGGCACCUUCGGGUGCUGAGUGGCGAACGGCUGAGGAACACGUGGGGACCUGUCCGGGAGUGGGGGACAACACCGCGAAAGCGGUGCUAAUCCCGCAUACGCUCCGAGGAGGAAAGCCGAAAGGCGCUCCCGGGUGGCCGUGCGGCCCAUCAGGGUGUUGGUUGGGUAACGGCCUACCUAGGCGAUGACGGGUCGCUGGUCUGUGAGGACGACCAGCCAGGCUGGGACUGGGACACGGACCAGACCCCUACGGGAGAGAGCAGAAAGUAAUUUAAGGGAAUGGGCGCAAGCCUGACCGAGCAACGUCGCGUGCAGAAAGCCGGCCUUCGGGAUCUACUCUGCUUAGGGUAGAGAUGAUAACUGACAGUACCUGGAGAAUAAGCCCCGGCUAACUAUGUG
rnacentral:rRNA from 1 species